rnacentral:rRNA from 1 species
UGCACAACCCGGUGGAGCAUGUGGUUUAAUUUGACGAUACACGAAGAACCUUACCUGGACUUGACAUAGUAAGAACUUUCUAGAGAUAGAUUGGUGUCUGCUUGCAGAAACUUAUAUACAGGUGCUGCACGGCUGUCGUCAGCUCGUGUCGUGAGAUGUUGGGUUAAGUCCCGCAACGAGCGCAACCCUCGUCAUUAGUUGCUAACAGUUCGGCUGAGAACUUUAAUGAGACGCCGUACGCAAGUAGGAGGAAGGUGAGGAUGACGUCAAGUCAUCAUGGCCCUUACGUCCAGGGCUACACACGUGCUACAAUGGGGUAUACAAAGGGCAGCAAUCCGGUGAGCGUGGAGCAAAUCUCAAAAAUAUCUUCCUAGUUCCGGAUUGUAGUUUGCAACUCGACUACAUGAAGUCGAAUCGCUAGUAUCGGUACGUCCC